rnacentral:rRNA from 1 species
UACGUAGGGCGCAAGCGUUGUCCGGAAUUAUUGGGCGUAAAGAGCUCGUAGGCGGCUUGUCACGUCGAUUGUGAAAGCCCGAGGCUUAACCUCGGGUCUGCAGUCGAUACGGGCUAGCUAGAGUGUGGUAGGGGAGAUCGGAAUUCCUGGUGUAGCGGUGAAAUGCGCAGAUAUCAGGAGGAACACCGGUGGCGAAAGCGGCUCACUGGACCACAACUGACGCUGAGGCGCGAAAGCCAGGGGAGCGAACGGG